GACGAACGCUGGCGGCGUGCUUAACACAUGCAAGUCGAACGGAAAGGCCCUGCUUUUGUGGGUUGCUCGAGUGGCGAACGGGGGAGUAACACGUGAGUAACCUGCCCUUGUCUUUGGGAUAACAUCAGGAAAAUGGGGCUCAUACCGGAUAGGAGCUCUUGAUGCAUGGGGGGGGUUGGAAAGUUCCGGCGGUUGGGGAUGGACUGGCGGCUUAUCCGCUUGUUGGUGGGGUAGUGGCUUACAAGGGCUUUGAAGGGUAGCCGGCCUGGGAGGGUGACCGGCCACCAUGGGCCUGCGAGACGGCCCAGUCUCCUAUGUGACGCAGCAGGCGGGAAUAUUGCACAGCGGGCGCACGCCAGAGGCAGCAGCGUCGCGUUCGUGAUGCUGUGUUUUGGGGUGUAAACCAAUGUGUCCGGUGACGAACCGUGAGUGACGGUAACUAGUAAGGAAGCCCCGGCUAACUACGUG
rnacentral:rRNA from 1 species